rnacentral:rRNA from 1 species
ACAGCAGUAGCCGCGGGAAUACGUAGGGUGCGAGCGUUAAUCGGAAUUACUGGGCGUAAAGCGUGCGCAGGCGGUUAUAUAAGACAGAUGUGAAAUCCCCGGGCUCAACCUGGGACCUGCAUUUGUGACUGUAUAGCUAGAGUACGGUAGAGGGGGAUGGAAUUCCGCGCGUAGCAGUGAAAUGCGUAGAUAUGCGGAGGAACACCGAUGGCGAAGGCAAUCCCCUGGACCUGUACUGACGCUCAUGCACGAAAGCGUGGGGAGCAAACAGGAUUAGAUACCCGAGUAGUCCCUGUCUCUUAUAU